rnacentral:rRNA from 1 species
UACGGGGGGGGCAAGCGUUGUUCGGAAUUACUGGGCGUAAAGGGCUCGUAGGCGGCCAACUAAGUCAGACGUGAAAUCCCCAGGCUUAACCUGGGAACUGCGUCUGAUACUGGAAGGCUUGAAUCCGGGAGAGGGAUGUGGAAUUCCAGGUGUAGCGGUGAAAUGCGUAGAUAUCGGGAGGAACACCGGUGGCGAAGGCGGUUCUCUGGGCCUUACCUGACGCUGAGGAGCGAAAGCGUGGGGAGCGAACAGG